rnacentral:rRNA from 1 species
UACGGAGGGUGCAAACGUUGCUCGGAAUUACUGGGCGUAAAGCGUGCGUAGGCGGUUCGCUGUGUCCGAUGUGAAAGCCCCGGGCUUAACCUGGGAAUGGCAUUGGAAACUGGCGGGCUUGAGUGUGGCAGAGGGGGGUGGAAUUCCGCGUGUAGCAGUGAAAUGCGUAGAGAUGCGGAGGAACACCGAUGGCGAAGGCAGCCCCCUGGGUUAACACUGACGCUCAGGCACGAAAGCGUGGGGAGCAAACAGG